rnacentral:sRNA from 1 species
UAGGAGUAUGUUUGCGUUUGAUAAGAC